GAUCAUGGCUCAGGACGAACGCUGGCGGCGUGCUUAACACAUGCAAGUCGAACGAGAAUCUGCGGAAAGAGGAUUCGUCCAAUUGAAGCAGAGGACAGUGGCGGACGGGUGAGUAACGCGUGAGGAACCUGCCUUUCAGAGGGGGGACAACAGUUGGAAACGACUGCUAAUACCGCAUGACACAUCGGAGUCGCAUGGCUCUGAUGUCAAAGAUUUAUCGUUGAAAGAUGG
rnacentral:rRNA from 1 species